GUUCUGGGAAUCUCCAUAUCAGUGAUCCAGAUAGCUAUCUUCUCAUAUAUGAAAUUCAGUAUCAUGAUGAUGACAAAAUUGAGGCAAGAGGCUGUGACUGAAGUUGCCAGCUGAGGGGUUAGUAAUCCACUGAUGGGCUGUAGACUCUGAGUAUUUUCCAUGAGGCUGGCAAAGGCAGCAUACACUGCAAGGCGAUACACAAUCACAGCUAUCAUGCUAGCUAUGAUCAGAGACACCUAAGGAAAGGACAGAUUUCAGACACAGCUCAGUAUAGCUAU
rnacentral:lncRNA from 1 species